rnacentral:rRNA from 1 species
GUGGGGAAUCUUGCGCAAUGGGCGCAAGCCUGAUCCAGCCAUGCCGCGUGAGUGAUGAAGGCCCUAGGGUUGUAAAGCUCUUUCACCGGAGAAGAUAAUGACGGUAUCCGGAGAAGAAGCCCCGGCUAACUUCGUGCCAGCAGCCGCGGUAAUACGAAGGGGGCUAGCGUUGCUCGGAAUUACUGGGCGUAAAGGGCGCGUAGGCGGACAGGUUAGUCAGAGGUGAAAGCACAGUGCUCAGCCUUGGAAUUGCCUUUGAUACUGGCUGUCUUGAGUUUGUGAGAGGUGAGUGGAACUCCGAGUGUAGAGGUGAAAUUCGUAGAUAUUCGGAAGAACACCAGUGGCGAAGGCGACUCACUGGCCCAAUACUGACGCUGAGGCGCGAAAGCGUGGGGAGCAAACAGGAUUAGAAACCCCUGUAGUCC